UACGUAGGGUGCGAGCGUUAAUCGGAAUUACUGGGCGUAAAGCGUGCGCAGGCGGCUCCGCAAGUCGGGUGUGAAAUCCCCGAGCUUAACUUGGGAAUUGCGCUCGAAACUACGGUGCUGGAGUGUGGCAGAGGGAGGUGGAAUUCCACGUGUAGCGGUGAAAUGCGUAGAGAUGUGGAGGAACACCGAUGGCGAAGGCAGCCUCCUGGGCCAACACUGACGCUCAUGCACGAAAGCGUGGGGAGCAAACAGG
rnacentral:rRNA from 1 species